rnacentral:rRNA from 1 species
AGAGUUUGAUCCUGGCUCAGAAUGAACGUUGGCGGCGUGGAUUAGGCAUGCAAGUCGAGCGAGAACCCGCAAGGGGGACAGCGGCGAACGGGGUAGUAAGGCGUAGGUGACGUGCCCUUAGGACCGGAAUAGCCACGGGAAACUGUGGGUAAUGCCGGAUAAUCUCUGGAUUUCAUUUUUCAGAGCAAUGGGUGUGAUUCCGCCUUUGGAGCGGCCUACGUGGUAUUAGCUAGUUGGUGAGGUAAUGGCUCACCAAGGCGACGAUGCCUAGGGGGUGUGAGAGCAUGGCCCCCACCACUGGGACUGAGAUACUGCCCAGACACCUACGGG